rnacentral:lncRNA from 8 species
GAUUGCUGGGAUCUGAGAAGACGUUCCGUAAGUUUCUGAGAAGAUCCUAGCCCAUCCAGGAGGAUGAAGAGGAGCUGCAGCAUCAGGGAGUAGAGAGGUUCAGAGGAGGAGGAGGGGGCAGAGCCUGCCAUCUUCAGCAGAGACAGUCUGGAGUCUGAGGGUGUCUGCUCUGGUGAGAUGGAUAGAUACUCUAUAUGAUCUAGCUCAAUCCAUUGCUAACCUGACAUCAGGGUAGUGACAUGAAAGCAGCUGUACGUGCCAGAUGUAAACUAUUUUACUUCAAACUCUUUGAAAAUAGCAAUGGUUGAAACAUGUAUGUCUGUGAUUGUGUCUACCCAGACUCUGUGAUGGCGUCCAGACCAGGUCAGAACGCUGCAGUGGGUCUUGGUCUGGGCAUGGACAGCAUGGAGGAGGAAUAGAAGAAGGCCCGCUUCUUUGCCCACCUGGAGGGAGGUGCAUCCUCCACCAUAGACUACUCCAGAGUCAACAAAGAUCUGGAUUCCACCAGCGACUCCACCACAGCUACCACCCUCAGGAAAGCAGUGGCGGCUGUGGCGGCGGUCGAUCAGAGAGAGGAGGAAGCUAUGGAGUCUGACAGACUCUCCCCAGCCUCCCACUACAGCGAGGAUGAGCACUUCGAAGAUGCGGUCAUUGAGGAGGUGAAAAAUUGGAAGCCUAAAAGGCCUGCCAUGCUCACCAAAGGUAUUAUAAACCAACAUCCAUUUUUCUUUUCUGAGUCAGAGUGGGUUUUUAAGUCAGCACGAGUAUGUUUUCAAGUUUUAUUAGCCCUAUGUACUGCAAACACAUGAUUUACACCAUCCAACAAAAUGUUUACUUGCAGUUACCUUCUCGACAAUGCAACAACAAUAAUAAAAUGGAAGAAUACGAACCUAAAGUAAAUGGAUUAGUAGAAUAGAAUUAACAUUUUAGAAUAAGUAUAAUACAGGAAGGCACAAUAUUUUACAAUAUUUACAUGUGUUUUGGGGGAUUGGGAGGUCUUUAGUGUUUGUGUUAGUGCUGCAUGAUAUACGAAACUUCGGUACUCUUUCGACACUAGAACAUAGAAAAGCGUUUCAGUACUAGAAUUCUUGUUACUAUCGGUACUUCUGUCAAAUGUGUGUCACGUCAUCUACUGAUAGAUAAAGACUUGAUCCUCUUUCAAUCAGCACAGCCGAUGUUCCCUUGUAGCGCGAGAGCACUUUGCCUGCUCCUCUUACUCAUUGCUAGCCUGUCCUGAGGAAUCGCUGCACAGAAGUUAACACUUAAUAUUGACAUGCUUUGUUGCAUUAUUUAACUGUUAAUUACUGUUAGCAAAACAAUGUCUAUUACAGGCUAGAACACUUUACAAUGCAAGAAGAUACCGUUUGUAGGCUAACUUGCCUUGCUAGCUUACAGUUGAAGCUAACAUCAAUUCACUACCCUAGUACCUUGUUUGUUUUAUGAAGAUAUUGCUGGCUUCAAAGCUGAUUCUCCCCAAAAACGUUAUUCAUUCAUGUCGUCUCUCCCACCUCACGUCUCUCUCAGUCAAGAUCAUUUUUGCUCGAGCCUUAUGGAAAGCCCCUUGGGUCUUUGCGUGUCUAAAAGAUACACGUCAAAUUCUUUGACACGCAAAGACCCAAAUGCCAUUCCAUAGAGCCUCGAACUGUGUGUGUGCGAGACAUGGAUCUUAAAAGAGACAGCCCACACUUUUCUAAAAGAAAUGCAGAUGUUGUUGAUCAGUACAGUAAAAUACAUCUCAAAUGGAAGGGAAACUGAUUGUUUUUCAUCUGUAGCCCCAUGAAAUCAGCCCAAACAAUCUCAAUAAGUCAACUGCUUAUCCAGUUCAGUUUUCUGUGACUGGCUAAUAUGCCUUCUUUUUUUGCUGUGGUAUCAUUUUGGUAUCGAGUAUUGUGAUACUAAACCUUGUAUUGUGACAACACUUGUGUGUGUCGUGUACACAGUAUGUAUAUACAGUGUCUCUGGUUCCUCUAACUGUACCCCUGUUUCACAGGCAUGUGAUUUAUCCUGAUGAAUCGUUUCCUGCUUUUAUGACACCAUCUUCUAUUCAUACAGUAUUGAAACUGACCUACUCCUAAAAUCAAUAUUCUAUUUGUCCUGAUCACAUCAUUUCCUGGUGUAAGUGUCCCUCCAUGAUUCUCUGGACUUGACCGGUGAACUCCUGCCCCCUGGAGCGGACAGUGACACCAGGGAGGAACCAGGGAGCGGAGGAGUCCAUAGAGACUGCACUAGCAGGUGAGACCAGACUAGACAGGCUGUCAGUCAGGUCCUACUGGAUGUAGCUAUCUAAACAUGGUGAAAACAGAGAUGACUUUGGACCAUCUGUGUCAGUUUGGUGGUGGCAGAUGAUGGUGAACCUGGUGGUGUUCCUGUGUCGUCUGUGUAGCCCAGUCAUAUGGCCAGAGUGGGGCCGGUGAUAUGAUGGUCUGAGUCCUCAAGAAAGCCACAUCACCACCCUUCAUCACCGGUCAGGAGAGAGAGGAGGAGGAAGAGCAGUCCUGUUCCUGUCUCUCCCUCUGUACCUGAGCUCUCCAGAGGAACACUACUAGCACCAGUCUCCACCACAGAGUCAGGUUGGUCAGUCUCCACCACAGAGUCAGGUUGGUCAGUCUCCACCACUGAUAUGUCUGUGGUGAACCUGUCAAGUAAAUAGAAUAUGGUUUUCAAUCAAAACUAACUGCAGAUCCACACAUGUCCAUCCUUAUUCUGACAAGAUGGUACAUUUUAAGUUGUAAGAUUGUGUUGAGGUGUUACAAAUGGACUUGAUCUUCUGAUUGAUUCAUGAUUAAUUGAUUA